AAAACCCCAGAAAACAAAGUCAAAACAUAAAACAUAUGCGAGGGUAAUAGAGAGAGUAGCCAUAAAAGGAGAAGAAGUUGUAGGAAAGCCAAGAACGAGAGGUAGAAGAUGAAGAUUUUGGUAGUAAGAGAAUUGGUUCCGGAAGAACGUGAUCAAUAAUUAAUUUUCUUCUGAUACCAUGUUAUGAGAAAAAAAAUGAUGAAAAUUAUGUAUCUUAUUUCAUAACAAGAAGAUAUUACAAUGGAUA
rnacentral:lncRNA from 1 species